CAGCCGCCGCGGUAAUACGAAGGGGGCUAGCGUUGCUCGGAAUGACUGGGCGUAAAGGGCGCGUAGGCGGUUCACGCAGUCAGAUGUGAAAUUCCUGGGCUUAACCUGGGGGCUGCAUUUGAGACGCGUGGGCUUGAGUGUGAAAGAGGGUCGUGGAAUUCCCAGUGUAGAGGUGAAAUUCGUAGAUAUUGGGAAGAACACCGGUGGCGAAGGCGGCGACCUGGUUCAUAACUGACGCUGAGGCGCGAAAGCGUGGGAGCAAACAGGAUUAGAUACCCCCGUAGUCCCUGUCUCUUAUACA
rnacentral:rRNA from 1 species